GAUGAACGCUGGCGGCGUGCCUAAUACAUGCAAGUCGAGCGAAUGGAUUAAGAGCUUGCUCUUUUGAAGUUAGCGGCGGACGGGUGAGUAACACGUGGGUAACCUGCCCAUAAGACUGGGAUAACUCCGGGAAACCGGGGCUAAUACCGGAUAACAUUUUGAACCGCAUGGUUCGAAAUUGAAAGGCGGCUUCGGCUGUCACUUAUGGAUGGACCCGCGUCGCAUUAGCUAGUUGGUGAGGUAACGGCUCACCAAGGCAACGAUGCGUAGCCGACCUGAGCGGGUGAUCGGCCACACUGGGACUGAGACACGGCCCAGACUCCUACGGGAGGCAGCAGUAGGGAAUCUUCCGCAAUGGACGAAAGUCUGACGGAGCAACGCCGCGUGAGUGAUGAAGGCUUUCGGGUCGUAAAACUCUGUUGUUAGGGAAGAACAAGUGCUAGUUGAAUAAGCUGGCACCUUGACGGUACCUAACCAGAAAGCCACGGCUAACUACGUGCCAGCAGCCGCCGCGG
rnacentral:rRNA from 1 species